AGUGAACGCUGGCGGUAGGCCUAACACAUGCGAGUCGAACGGCAGCACAGUAAGAGCUUGCUCUUACGGGUGGCGAGUGGCGGACGGGUGAGGAAUACAUCGGAAUCUACUUUUUCGUGGGGGAUAACGUAGGGAAACUUACGCUAAUACCGCAUACGACCUACGGGUGAAAGCAGGGGAUCUUCGGACCUUGCGCGAUUGAAUGAGCCGAUGUCGGAUUAACUAGUUGGCGGGGUAAAGGCCCACCAAGGCGACGAUCCGUAGCUGGUCUGAGAGGAUGAUCAGCCACACUGGAACUGAGACACGGUCCAGACUCCUACGGGAGGCAGCAGUGGGGAAUAUUGGACAAUGGGCGCAAGCCUGAUCCAGCCAUACCGCGUGGGUGAAGAAGGCCUUCGGGUUGUAAAGCCCUUUUGUUGGGAAAGAAAAGCAGCAGGUUAAUACCCCGCUGUUCUGACGGUACCCAAAGAAUAAGCACCGGCUAACUUCGUG
rnacentral:rRNA from 1 species